rnacentral:lncRNA from 1 species
GGGUGAUAUCCUGCAGUCAUGUGACUGUGUAUGAGAACAGUGCUCCUGGAGCUGGCGACACUGGGCACCGUGGCUCUGACCCCAGAGGAGGAGCAUCUCUGUUAGAGUCACUUGCUGGCACUUUGGUGGACAUGGGAGAGACGUAUUGGACUCAAGAAACGUAUGAAUGAAGCAGCAGCAGCCUGGGUUAUUAAGUCGCCCCUGUCCCAAGUACGACUUGGCUGCCUUUGGCUCUUCGUAUCUCCUAAUGAAGAACUGCACAGCACAGCCCUGCCUGGGUGAGCCCAAGAGACCUCUUCCCUGGAGAAGAUAUUGGAGAGAGGUUGGGGCUGACUCUGCAACAGGAUGAGAGAAGGAAUUAGCAUUUAUUGAGUUCCCGCUGUGUGCUCCCCUGUGCCAGACGGUUUUGCUGAUCACUGCAGAAACUCUGGAAGGCAAAUGAAUUGGAGCCUCUGGAUAAAGAAGCAAACGAUGAAGCUGGAGUCUGGGCCCAAGUCUGCUCAUUUCAAGCCCAUGUUCUUCCUGUGUUAUAUUGGGAUGCAGUCAAUCUAGAGCAGGAAGUAUAAACUCUGUGCCCUCCUUGCCUACGUAAUAUCUCUUGGGAGCUAUAGUGGAGGUAAAAUGAAAAGGUAGAAAACACUCUUUAUUAUUUCUGUUCU